AUUGCUGCAUGUGAUGGUGGUAGUCACAGCAAGAUCAGAGGCUUCUACAUCUUUUGCAUGAGGAGAAGCUUGUAAAUACGAGGAACAACCCUGUAGGAUACCAUCUCAGGCCGAAAGAGUUUCUCUGGGUAGGUA